AUCCAGCUGACGAGUCCUAAAUUGGACGGAACACACGUCUUUGAU
rnacentral:hammerhead_ribozyme from 1 species